rnacentral:rRNA from 1 species
GACGAACGCUGGCGGCGUGCUUAACACAUGCAAGUCGAACGGAAAGGCCCUGCUUUUGUGGGGUGCUCGAGUGGCGAACGGGUGAGUAACACGUGAGUAACCUGCCCUUGACUUUGGGAUAACUUCAGGAAACUGAGGAUAAUACCGGAUAGGAGCUCCUGCUGCAUGGUGGGGGUUGGAAAGUUUCGGCGGUAGGGGAUGGACUCGCGGCUUAUCGGCUUGUUGGUAGGGUAGUGACUUACCAAGGCUGUGACGGGUAGCGGGCCAGCGAGGGUGACGGGCUACAUUGAAACUGCAAUACGGCCCAGACUCCUACGGGAGGCAGCAGUGGGGAAUAAUGCACAAUGGUCGGAAGCCUGAUGCAGCAGCGCCGCGUGCGGUAGAACGGCAUUCGUGUGGUAAACCUCAUUAGCCUGUGACGAAGCGUGAGUGACGGUAAUGGGUAAAUAAGCACCGGCUAACUACGUG